rnacentral:piRNA from 1 species
UGGUCUGGAUCACCUCGCUCUCCCUGC